rnacentral:pre_miRNA from 1 species
AUUAUACUCCCUCCGUUCUAAAUUACUCGUCGCAGAAAUGGAUGUAUCUAGAUGUAUUUUAGUUCUAGAUACAUCCAUUUCUGCGACGAGUAAUUUGGAAUGGAGGGAGUAUGAG